CUACGGAUGCUCUAAUCACCGCAGUCUGCAAACAAGAACCCGUGGGAUCACCUUUCACGUUUUCCCAAAACCGAAGAGAGGAGGAGGCAGUGGGAACUCGCCCUAAGAAGGGACAUAUUCAGGUUCCAUGAGACGCAGCACUAUGUUCCCCACAUAUGUUUAUGUUUGCUCAGUCUAAUAAACCCAUAACAUGGUUGUGAAAGAAUACCAAA